rnacentral:rRNA from 1 species
GACGGAGGGUGCUAGCGUUGUUCGGAAUUACUGGGCGUAAAGGGCGCGUAGGCGGCCCCUUGCGUCGGGUGUGAAAGCCCGGGGCUCAACCCCGGAACGGCACCCGAUACGGAGGGGCUCGAGACCGGGAGAGGUGGGUGGAAUACCCAGUGUAGAGGUGAAAUUCGUAGAUAUUGGGUGGAACACCGGUGGCGAAAGCGGCCCACUGGCCCGGUUCUGACGCUGAGGCGCGAAAGCGUGGGGAGCAAACAGG